rnacentral:rRNA from 1 species
GAUGAACGCUGGCGGCGUGCCUAAUACAUGCAAGUCGAGCGAACAGACGAGGAGCUUGCUCCUCUGACGUUAGCGGCGGACGGGUGAGUAACACGUGGAUAACCUACCUAUAAGACUGGGAUAACUUCGGGAAACCGGAGCUAAUACCGGAUAAUAUAUUGAACCGCAUGGUUCAAUAGUGAAAGACGGUUUUGCUGUCACUUAUAGAUGGAUCCGCGCCGCAUUAGCUAGUUGGUAAGGUAACGGCUUACCAAGGCGACGAUGCGUAGCCGACCUGAGAGGGUGAUCGGCCACACUGGGUCUGAGACACGGUCCAGACUCCUACGGGAGGCAGCAGUAGGGAAUCUUCCGCGAUGGGCGAAAGCCUGACGGAGCAACGCCGCGUGAGUGAUGAAGGUCUUCGGAUCGUAAAACUCUGUUAUUAGGGAAGAACAAAUGUGUAAGUAACUAUGCACGUCUUGACGGUACCUAAUCAGAAAGCCACGGCUAACUACGUG